GUUAAGCGGCAGGUGGCUUCCGUGUCUUGUGGCUGCUUGAUAAUGUAUGAUCUAAUCUCGAUCUCUACCAUGUCUCUGGGUGGAAGACCAAAAACAGAUGCCAAGAGAGAUUGUUGAGAAGUUCACAGCAACAUCUUGUGAUGAUUGGCCAAGCUCUUAGUUCCCAUCUACCACCAACUGUAUACAGACGGCGCAGUCUGUCUUCUUUAACUUCAUAAUGGCAUUCAAAAUAGUAGGGAGAAAAUGUGAAGAAACAAAGACAAAUGCCCUAUUAGGAAUGAGAAAUAAAGUGCAUGGUGAUUUUUUGUUUUUUCUUAAAUACUUCAAUAAAGUAUGUUACAUUUGAGCUUGG